rnacentral:lncRNA from 1 species
AGAAUCAUCCAGAGCUCCUGUGCUAUAAUGGCAGUUUGAACCGCUGGAGCCGAGAUUUGAGCCCCGGGACCCAUCAGUCCUGCUGGACCGUCUGUGAAACUGGUCCUGAACCCAGUGACCUCCGCCUCUGGGGGCAAUUCCAUCUCCAGUGGUUUUUGCCACAGGCUGGACAGGGUCGAAGUUGCUUCGUCUUGCUGCCUGGGCAAUCCUUAAAAUGCCCUGGCCUGCCACAUCAAUAGCAACUAGCAGAUGCACCUUGGGGAUUCUGGAUGUUGCAAGCCUGCAAAGCUGCUGCUAGAGCCUCUGUCCGUCUCCCGAGCUUGCUCUCUUUCUUUUGGGCAUCCUCCUCCUGGUCCAUAUUAUUAAAGACCGAAGUGGCCACUUUCAGGAGGCUCUCUAAGGUGCUGUCUGGUCCUGUACCUUGGUUUUGUAGUUUCCUUCUACUAUCAGGAGCUGCCUUGUGUAAUAAACUUGUCCUUCAGGAUGAGCUGUUCCUCAACUGAAUUACGGGAUAAGGAGGUAUACUCUAUUAGUGCCUUUCCAUAAAGGCUACAGGAGUCUUAUCUGGCUUUUGGUCCAUUAUAGACAGUUUAGAGUAUGAUACCUUGUUUUAACCUGAAUUGACUCUCCCUUAGCUGAGAGAGCCAGACAGACACCAUCUUGGCUCCUUCACUUACAGCCCCUUACUCACCCCCUUCCUCAAGGACUUAACUUGUGCAAGCUGACUCCCAGCACAUCCAAGAGUGCAAUUAACUGAUAAGAUACUGUGGCAAGCUAUAUCUGCAGUUCCUAGGAAUUUGCCCAGUUGAUAGCACCCAGAGCCCCCCGCGUUUGUGUCCGGUUGAUAACACCCAAAGCCCCGCGCCUAUCACCUUGUGAUGGAUUUAAAACCCCUGCACCUGGAACCGUUUGCUUUCCUGUAACCAUUUAUCCUUUUUACUUUUUGCCUGCUUUAUUUCUGUAAGAUUGUUUUAACUAGACUCCCCCCACUCCCCUUUCUAAACCAAAGUAUAAAAGAAAAUCUAACCCCUUCUUCAGGGCCGAGAGAAUCUUGAGCACUAGCCGUCUCUCGGUCUCUGGCUAAUAAAGGACUCCUGAAUUUG